GGAUGUGAAAGAGAACUGGCUGUGACAUCUGUCACCCACUGAUGGCCAGGGUUGAUUUAGCUCAUCUCGCUGGCUACACAGGUGCUCCCUCCUGGCCACACUGCUCCAGGUGCCCCCCUCUCAAACCUGCAAACUCAGUGGAAGACAACCUCCCUGAUAGAGGAGGACCAUUUCCUCAGUCACGGGGAUACAAGUAGCCGUGCAUUCCUCCUAGAACUUCCAGACGAGCUCUCAAGGAUUCUUCCUUUUUGAAGAGAUUUCUGAGUCCUUUUGCAUAGGCACUAUGAACUAAUGGAGUUCCAAAACCACAAAUCAUUUGUUU
ensembl:misc_RNA 7SK 7SK RNA